GAUGAACGCUGGCGGCGUGCCUAAUACAUGCAAGUCGAGCGAUCAAGCGAGGUGCUUGCUCCUAUUUGGAUAGCAGCGAACGGGUGAGUAACGCGUGGGUAACCUGCCUAUGAGCGGGGGACAACAUCGGGAAACGAAUGCUAAUACCGCAUAAUAUCUUUAAACAUAAGGUUCAAGAGUGAAAGAUGCAAUUGCAUUACUCAAAGGUGAUCUCGCGGCGUCUUAGCUAGUUGGUGAGGUAAAGGCCCAACAAGGCGAAGGUACAUAGCCCGCCUGGGAGGGUGGUCCGCCACAAUGGGACCGAGACACGGCCCAAACCUCUUCGGGGGGCAACAGUAGGGGAACUUCGGCCAUAGAGGGAAGGCUGAACGGGGCACGCCGCGGGGGUGGAGGAAGUUCUCGGGUCGUAAAACUCUGGUUGUUGGGAAGGAAGAAGGUGGGAAUGAAAUGCGCAUCUAGUGACGGUAACUAACCAGAAAGCGACGGCUAACUACGUG
rnacentral:rRNA from 1 species